GGGCACUGUUUCUCCGUUUUUCUUUCGUGUCCUUUUGCCCUGAAUUUUGUUUUUGGUUUUGCCUCGCGUGCAUUGGGCCGUGUGGCGGACGGGGCGGCUGAUGCCAGCAAAAAAAAGAGAGAAAAAGGGCGCGCCGGUCUGCCCGCGCCAAGGCUCCAUAGAUCGGUGCACCCGCGUCUUUGUUUGUGCCCAUCCUUCCUCGGCUCUUUUUUUUUAGGUCAAGAAAAAAGGGAGGAAGGACUGAAUGGCGCGCUUGUGGAUUUGGACAUGACAGAGGGUACGCGCCAGGCUGGGCAAGCGGCCGGAACCUGAUCAGAUACGGACUCGACCUGCUGAGCGCCGCCUUUUGCGCCGUCGGCCGACUCGACGCGCAGUGCGUCCAACGGAUGCAGAGCCAAGGCGCAAAAAGAUGCCGACCCUUUGAGUGGCUUUGUCGCUCGUGUAGAUUUUCGAGCGCGGCCGGCUCUCUCUUUGCGAGGUCGCACGGGCGAGGUUGGUUUGCGCAAGAGGUCGCGCUACCGCUAGCCUGGCCGUCAAGAAUUUAGGCCGGCCAUCGACCAGCGCCGGAUCGCCGCGCUGCCGCGCCUUGCGCCGGGAGGAAGAGAGGGAACCGGAAAAUAAAAG
rnacentral:lncRNA from 1 species